AACGAACGCUGGCGGCAGGCUUAACACAUGCAAGUCGAGCGAAGACUUCGGUCUUAGCGGCGGACGGGUGAGUAACGCGUGGGAACGUGCCCUUCUCUACGGAACAGUCCUGGGAAACUGGGUUUAAUACCGUAUACGCCCUUUUGGGGAAAGAUUUAUCGGAGAAGGAUCGGCCCGCGUUGGAUUAGGUAGUUGGUGGGGUAAUGGCCUACCAAGCCUACGAUCCAUAGCUGGUUUGAGAGGAUGAUCAGCCACACUGGGACUGAGACACGGCCCAGACUCCUACGGGAGGCAGCAGUGGGGAAUAUUAGACAAUGGGCGCAACCCUGAUCCAGCCAUGCCGCGUGAGUGAUGAAGGCCUUAGGGUUGUAAAGCUCUUUCGCACGCGACGAUAAUGACGGUAGCGUGAGAAGAAGCCCCGGCUAACUUCGUGCCAGCCGCCGCCGUAAUAC
rnacentral:rRNA from 1 species